CGUACACUCCUACGGGAGGCAGCAGUGAGGAAUAUUGGACAAUGGGUGGAAGCCUGAUCCAGCCAUCCCGCGUGCAGGAAGACGGCCCUAUGGGUUGUAAACUGCUUUUAUCUGGGGAUAAACCUACUUACGUGUAAGUAGCUGAAGGUACCAGAAGAAUAAGCACCGGCUAACUCCGUGCCAGCAGCCGCGGUAAUACGGAGGGUGCAAGCGUUAUCCGGAUUUAUUGGGUUUAAAGGGUCCGUAGGCGGACUGAUAAGUCAGUGGUGAAAUCCGACAGCUUAACUGUCGAACUGCCAUUGAUACUGUUAGUCUUGAGUAAGGUUGAAGUGGCUGGAAUAAGUAGUGUAGCGGUGAAAUGCAUAGAUAUUACUUAGAACACCAAUUGCGAAGGCAGGUCACUAAGUCUUAACUGACGCUGAUGGACGAAAGCGUGGGGAGCGAACAGGAUUAGAAACCCCUGUAGUCCCAUGA
rnacentral:rRNA from 1 species